GAUGAACGCUGGCGGCGUGCCUAAUACAUGCAAGUCGAGCGAACGGACGAGAAGCUUGCUUCUCUGCUGUUAGCGGCGGACGGGUGAGUAACACGUGGAUAACCUACCUAUAAGACUGGGGUAACGUCGGGGAACCGGAGAUAAUACCCGAUAAUAUUUUGAACCGCAUGGUUCAAAAGUGAAAGACGGUCUUGCUGUCACUUAUAGGUGGAUCCGCGCUGCAUUGGCUAGUUGGUAGGGUAACGGCUUACCAAGGCAACGAUGCAUAGCCGACCUGAGAGAGUGAUCGUCCACACUGGAACUGAGAAACGGUCCAGACUCCUACGGAAGGAAGAGGUGGGGAUACUGCCGCAAUGGGCGAAAGCUUGUCGGAGCAACGCGGCGGUGGUGAUGAAGGUCUCCGGUUCGUAAAACCCUUUUAUUAGGGAAGAACAUAUUUGGAAGUAACUGUGCACAUCUGGCGGGAACCAAAUCAGAAGGCCACGGCAAACUACUG
rnacentral:rRNA from 1 species